rnacentral:rRNA from 1 species
UACGGAGGGUGCGAGCGUUGUCCGGAAUUACUGGGCGUAAAGCGCGCGUAGGCGGACCUGCAAGUCGGGGGUGAAAGCCCGAGGCUCAACCUCGGAACUGCCUUCGAUACUGCGGGUCUCGAGUCCGGGAGAGGUGAGUGGAAUUCCUAGUGUAGAGGUGAAAUUCGUAGAUAUUAGGAAGAACACCAGUGGCGAAGGCGGCUCACUGGCCCGGUACUGACGCUGAGGCGCGAAAGCGUGGGGAGCAAACAGG